rnacentral:rRNA from 1 species
GACCAACGCUGGCGGCGUGCCUAAUACAUGCAAGUCGAGCGGACAGAUAAGGAGCUUGCUCCUUUGAAGUCAGCGGCGGACGGGUGAGUAACACGUGGGCAACCUGCCUAUAAGACUGGGAUAACUCCGGGAAACCGGGGCUAAUACCGGAUAGAUUCUUUCCUCUCAUGAGGAAAGAAGGAAAGAUGGUUUCGGCUAUCACUUAUAGAUGGGCCCGCGGCGCAUUAGCUAGUUGGGAAGGUAACGGCUUACCAAGGCGACGAUGCGUAGCCGACCUGAGUGGGUGAUCGGCCACACUGGGACUGAGACACGGCCCAGCCUCCUACGGGGGGCAGCAGUGGGGAAUAUUGGACAAUGGGCGCAAGCCUGAUCCAGCCAUGCCGCGUGAGUGAUGACGGCCUUCGGGUUGUAAAGCUCUGUUGUUAGGGAAGAACAAGUACCGGAGUAACUGCCGGUACCUUGACGGUACCUAACCAGAAAGCCACGGCUAACUACGUGCCAGCCGCCGCAGUAA